UCCAGAGUCUUUUUCAUUUUCUUCUCACUUGUAGUCCAGUCAGAAUGAUUCAUGAGGAAUGUGAGUGUGUGGGUGACUGUGGGUUGGUGAGGUCAACUUUCCAUUUGACUACUGACUAAUCUGGAUUUCUGCUAAUCCUGGGUUCAGUAACAGUAACAGAGAGCUUGUCAUUGACAUUUUACCUCCAUCAGUCUGUUCUCCCAAACGUAGAUGUUUACACAAAAUAACGUACCGAACGUACCGGUUAAAGUUGACACUGCAGUGUAUCCACUGUGUAUAAUCUGUAAUGGUGCAUGCAGAAGAGGACCAAUGCCACAGGAAAUGCCGUGUUUUGAUCAUGAUCAUUUUUGACUGUUGUUUAGGUUUUGUGUUAUAACCCCAGAUAAAGGUCGAACUCCCAAAUCAGUCAGCGACUGACUCUUGUGUCUUGUAUUUGUAUCUUGUAUCAGCACCCUUCGAAACAUGCUUCAAUUAUCAAUAAGUUGCAUGGAUAUUGCAGUUUAAAAAAAACAAUAGCAUUGGUUUUGCACGGGACACUGAUGGUGCAAGGCCAAGCUAGGUUUGGGUAAGGCUCCGUCACGUGCAGAGAGACUGAUGAGGGUCUGCUGGGUGAGCUGGAGGAAGCAGUGCCAAGGUCAACAUUGAUUACAGUCGGAGCAGCAACAGCGGCGGCAGCAGGCAGAGCGUGAUCACCACGAGGAGAGGAAGAAGCUGAGGAGGUCCGCAGGGCACCUGUCGAGUGAGAGAGCUGCUCACAGCCAUUUCCCAACUUAAUUUGUGGCAGAAUGACACUUUGUUACCGUCUGGGAGUUGAGAGGUUGUGAUGCAAAAGUGAGCUGAUCGAUUGUGACCUGUCCUGUAACACAGUUAUGAAGAUAUAUUGGUGGAGCUGCUAUGAAAGGAUACAGUGUGUAUUAUCUAUUGAUUGCAAAAUGUUGUGAUUGUGUGGUGUAUGCAAUUUGUGCAUCCACGUAUGUGCACUUUUGUGUGUGCCUUCAGAAAGUAUUCAUACUCCUUGACUUAUUCCACAUUUUGUUUCAGCCUGAAUUCAACAUUUAUUAAAUUGUUUUGUUCUCACCCAUCUACACACACACUACCCCAUAAUGACAAAGUAAACACGUGUUUUUGAUGUGUGUCCAUGAGAAGCUCCUGACAUUCACUGUGUCCUUUUUUUACUUCACAAUCCUACUUUUCCUGUAGACUGAACAUGUCUGUGUUAUGCUCUGUGCUUGACACAUAAAAAAUGUGUACUAAACUUA